GGAUGGAAUUUGAUAUUUGAAUGAUGUUAUAUAUUCUAAAAUUGUACUGUUCUAUAUGAAUUUGUGUCAGGUUAUUGAUAGAGUUUUAGCCACCGUUUGGUUGGGGGUUAAGGGGUGGAAUAACCUCUUAACCUUUAAUUUAUACCCAAACACCACUCUUAAGGGGUGGGAUUAGUAAACCCCACCCCAAACCGGGUUAGUGAGGUUUACUAACCCCACUCUCCCUCCCAACUUUAACCCCGCACGUAUUCCGAGCUCUCAUCUUUUUCUUCUUUAUCAAUCAUUAACCCCACUCCCCCUCCCAACUUUAACCCCGCACGCAUCCCGAGCCCUCACCUUUUUCUUCUUUAUCAAUCAUUAUCUUUUUAUCCCACCUACUCCAACCAAACACUUUUUUUCACUAUCCUAGACUAACUCCAACCUCCAACCAAGCACAAAAAAACUUUAAUCCCAUUUUAACCUUGAACUUAACCCUAUCCCUGGUAUAGCUACUUUUUCCUUAACCCCGAACCAAACGGAGGCUUAGAAUCUUGUCUUCCUGAUUUUAAUGUAAUAUAG
rnacentral:lncRNA from 1 species